GGAGUCAGGACGCCGAGUGUAAGUGGAGAGAGAGUUGCGGCCAGCGGCGGAUCUACACAGUGGACUGAACGGUGGCAGGAGGUGAGAGCAGAGUCUAAACUGGGGUUUCAGUUCGCCGUUCGUCGUCGUCGUCCAAGGGCACAGCGGUACUCGACCUACCCCUUCGCCCCCAACCCACCCCUCUCGGGCGUGACAGCCUCUUCUGCUUGCUCCCGACCGCCGGGGCCUCGAUGGAGGUGAUGGAGCGGCGGCGUAGGUCAGGCUGGGACGGAGGACGUUCGUGCCGCUGAAGAAGCUGUGGCAGACCCGCCCGGUGCUCGAUUGGUGCGGGUUAGAGAAGUCCAGUCAUGUGAUGUCAUCCGUUAAACCCUAUAAAAAAAACUUUGACUUUAACUCCUUUAAAACUGUGUUAACUCACACCUCUGUUAACUCACACCUCUGACUCAACAAACCAAUUAAUCAAUUAGUCCUGCAUGUGGUCUCUGUUAAACAGCGUUGUAACUGUGCUAAUACACUACAUCUCUAUUACUCUAUACGAGUACAAAAUGACGAUGAGCUUGGGACUAUACAUAGCACCAAAAGCACCCUAUUAUAUUAACUCAGGCAAGUUAGGCAACUCCUCCGGAGCACCAAUAGAAAAAAAAAAGUGCAAAGAGCGCAUCACCAAUCACGGGUGGAGCGUCGGCACCUGAGGACAAUGGCUUAAUAAACCGCUAGACCGCGACUAAAGAACCGCGCCGGUGGUUUUUAAAGAGCGCGCGGCCGCGUGGUGCGUGGUUUAGUCCAGGAUUUGAUUGGCGGUAUCAGAGGACCAGGAGAAACUUUUGUUUGUGCAGGAGCAAGAGGUUUGGUUAGAUCGAACUCCCCACGGGCCGCAGGGAGACGAAGGUGAGGCCGCCCACCAGUCCUUUAGGAGACGAAGGAGACGCUACCGGCUAGUUAGCCGUGCGUCGCUAGUGUCACCCCGCGGUGCCAUAGUAAGAGAAGAGGGAGGGGUAAGGGGAGAGAGGAGCAGAGACAGUGUGGGGGAACUCAUGAAGAGAAGAAAAGACAGAGCGCACUAACACGACUAACAGGUAAUAAACAUGUAACGUUAAAGAAAAGACGUGCUAGGUAGUCAUAACCAAACAACCGCCAAGUAUUAAAAUCAAACCGUUCAAAAGAACAACAUGCUCAACUAGAACAAAGGAAAGAAAAGAAAGAUUUGGUACAAUCGGCCCUUGAUUAAUACAUUCUUUGCCUCUCUUAUAAACAUCUUGGAAUUUAGAUCCUAAGUCGACCAUACGAGUGUUUUUCCAAUACAAAAUACACAAAUGAUGUUAUCGUUGAAUACAGGUUGCUCAUACACGAAGACUACCGGUACUUAUUGGACUUCUCAAGGGAGUCAAAGACCAAGUCUUUCAACUUUAUCCAUAAUUAUUUGAACGUGUAAUCAAUCGAACAAACCUAUCUCGAGGAUUACUGGUAGAACAAUCAAUACCGGUUACAUCCGGUUUAUAUCUUAACAAACUAACUAAAAGAGUAACAAUGAUAUAUUAAUUAUAUAUAGUGUGAAAUACAAGUACUAAUUUAGGUUACGAAUAUGAUAUGGAGGAUGAAGGUAAGAUGUAAAAACAUCGUUACAUCUACAGCUGGCAUCAACCUACAUGUUUCUCUCUGCUCCCUUCAACUAGUCACUACGAACCGUUGUACCUCAUCUAUUAAAGGAUCUAGUACGUAAGAGUAACGGGCUACGACGACAUCUACCCUUUAGGGUAACAGGAACGUCGUUCACGAAAACGCCAGUAUUCACCUGUUCCCUACAGUACUGGUGUGUGAACACGUCGUUACCCAAGUACAAUCCUAUACUCUCUACCUGAUCGGUGCCCCUCAGACUACGUGGACUUUUACAUCUCGUACUAUUGCACCCCCUACCUCUAUCUUACUUACUGUACGAUCAACUACGUUAACAACGACUUCCUCAAAGAUUUCCACUACUCGGUUGUUUUAGACGGUUUAUUAAGAUACUUUACAACUACCUUCGGCUGUUUGCAAACGUACUCUUCUGGUGUGUUAGUGCAGAUAGGUAACAUCCUUCCGAUUACUGAUAAUUUUGUGUUGUAUUAGACAGUCUUCGAACAAUGUUACUCUACUACUGAGAGUAUGUACUGUAACAACCCCUGCUACGACGUUUUCUAGAGGGUCGUUUGAAGGUAUCCAGGUACUUCGAACACGUAUCAGAUCGUUACGGAAUGCAGUUUUAAAUACGUACGGGGUUAUUAACAUACUAAAUAAUAUUUCUCUUACUUUUAUUUCUUUUUACGUGAUAGACGUUUCUUGGAUCUAUACUCCUUUGUUGGCGUCCUUUAUUUAGAUGCUUCUAUGGUUCUUUUCAAAACGCGAUAGAGGGUUAAUGAGGAUCCGAUGUUGCCAACAUGUACAGUGUUUCGUGACGGUUCGUGUACCUGAUAGUGCGUUCCGGAGUAUUGUCGCUACUUCAUUACCAAGUGGGAAGAGUACCACUUCGAACCUUCCUUAAAUUAUUCCUUAAAUUUUUUAAACGACUCCUUCAUUCCUUAUAUUCCGAUACAGAUCGCUGACUGCCGAAGUGUGGAAAACUUUAAUUUCGUCGGAGGAUGAGUACAACCGGUCAUAAACAACAUGGAAUAUUAGAAGGUGGUCUUUACACGUACUUCGUCUCAUUGGACUAGGAACGUGAUCAAUAAGGGCCAGGUCUAGUAGGUCCUUUCUUGGAUUUGCAAAAAUACGUCGGAGAUCAACUGCUUGAACUACUAAACACCUCUUUACCACAUCUUUGAAUACUAUCAAUAGCUUUCGUUUUAAAGUGGAACUUCCGUCCAAACGAAACCUGAUAAGUACUGAAAGGUCGAAUACCUAAUCAUCGUACGAUCUCGUGAGUACCUUUCGAACGAACGGGAUAUACACCUAGACUGUAUUUCUGUAAGAGUAACUUCUUACCCUCUUUCGGUACGACCAAACUAACGGUAUCCUCUAAGGAAGGGUGACUGGUACGUAAAGCAUCCUCACACUUUACAAAAGCGUUCUUUUUUUGUCAAAAUCUAGGAGGUGGUUUCGGGAACAGGCCUCUUCUCCACAUACUUCUUGAGGUUUCAGAACAGGUACUACUUUGACCGUUCUCAUUUAAACUCCCCAAACCCUUCCUCGUGUUAACCUAUCGAUAUUCACCAAACACCGUCGAUCUCAUAAAAGCCUUCAACGACGAAGCGGUAUUGUAACUACAUUACGUGUUACUCUUUUUACAUAGACUCCGAAAUGAUUUGUGUACGGAACUAUAAGGACUCUUUUGAUUCCUAUUGUUGUUUCGUGCGGAACUACAACGAAACAUAACACUAACUGGUUUCGAUGUGGACUUGUUCUUAAGUUCCCCACACACCUUCUUUGGAUCUCGCUUUAUAACACAGUCGUUCCUUCUAUCUUACUGGUAGGAAUUCACCAAAUUUCUUCACUUCAAAAGACUACCCAAACGACGAUUAAACUCAUUUUGACAGUUGAACUCAUUUUUGUUUAAGUAACCCGAUUUUUCGGUACUGGUGGUGUAGUAGUACCUCGCGGAGGACGGUCAACGGGAUGCUCCGAAGUAGGGUCUUGGACUUACCUUCCAGUAUCGUCUCAAUUCAAAAAAAAUAGCCGUUAACACACGGUUUCUUUAACGAGGUUUUGCCUACGCACUUGAACUCCUCCUCCAAGGACAAGAUAAUACGUUCGAACUCUUUUACAAGGGUGGUCCGAAGAAGUUACAUUACGUUGUGGACUAUCACGUAGAAGGUAUACUCCGUUCCCAACCGCCGGGACACCGUAUAGCAACCUACAUACAAAAACUCUCCCGUUACGUGAUAGAAGCAAAUUUUCACGCUUUGUUCCGUUCUCACCUCCCAAGUUAGCAACUUCGAACAUAGCACGUCCUCUAGUGCUUAACACAAAGAGAAAUGAAAUCACUAGCGCAAGCGUGAUAUACCUUCUUCUUAGGAGCUAUAUUAUUACCUCCUUGUGCGCACGUCUUACUACCAACGUGGAAUCUACACAAAGUCGUACAUCCUUUGGAUGUACCCUCCGGAUAACGGGCUCUUGAUAGCGCACUGCUCAACUUACGUCGUUCCGACAUGUAAAACUGAUUGACGAGACGACAACUAUCUAAAGCACUUUGUAAACUUCUACUUUUUAUACGUUCAGUAGGUUUGAACUGUAGCCUCCCGGAACUACUUUACUACCGUAGGCUUAAACACCUUACCAAGCUCUAACGAACGUUUCUUCUAGGAUUAAGACUACUCCUGAACACCUUAAAUCGAUUACCUACGUCGAGAUCUCGGAUAAGGAUAUCGAGGAUACUACACUUACCGAAAGCGAAAUCUAGUCUCUAUAGACUUUUUUUUGCAUCUUCCAACUUUUGCCACUUGUGUCCCCAAACAAACAGUAGGUGGCGGUUAACCAGGUUUUUUACUAGUCUUUGGCCAUAACACAACCCUCCUGAUGUUCACCAGGGGACCAGGUCUUCAUUCUUGUCGUCGAAGGUUUUAUCACCUUCUUAAAACCACCGCAAAGUUCACGCUGGGUAGCCUCGUUCUCUUCCGUCUACCACAAAACCUCCUCUUGAAUUGAUCCUUUCACUUCGUCUACGAUGUACUCCUUUUCCGCCGUCGGUAUUUUUAUAAUUUCUUCUUCCCUGUUAACGGAUGUCUUGAUUGUUUUCUCCUACUCCUACCAUUGGCGACCGGUUGAUUCCUUCGAAAUUAAAGACGUUUCUCUCAACUGAAACCUUGUCUGCAACCAACCGCAGAUGAUACACUCGUGACCUGAUCAUGACCUAAAUCUCCCAAUAGAAAUUGGUUGUUCUCCUUGUCUGAACGAUUACCCUUGUGACAGAAGGUAACGUCACCACGAUCUUUACAACAGCGGUGCGCAGUUAAAGACUUUGAGUUUUGGCCCUUUCUGGGACCUUAAAGACCACGAACCGAAGUGUGCGUGUUUAACGUAGCUCCCUGACUACUUCUCGUCUAUACGUCAGUUUCUUGACGACUAGUAACCCUCCUAAAACUAUUCCGUUACUUUUUACGGGUACCUCUUUUAACCCUUCUCCUCGUGGGCCUAAAUCUACCUGUCUAGUAGAUACUUCGUAGUCCGUCUUACGGUGUACCGUCCGACCCUUAACGAUUACUCAACAAAUCGUUUCGUCUCUUCCGCUUCAAAUUCAGAUUUUCCCGCUACCGGAGUGUCGGCCACGUCAGACGAUUCCUCCUCGCAGAUCUUUCUCUUUUGUUUGUAAACUUCGUCCUCUAGUUCGCAGAAGCUCCGUAACUCGAACAACAAGUCAGAAACCGACUCUUUCCCCCUCAGCUGAAACUACCGUAUUACGUUAGUCGUCGUCUACUGAACAGAGGUAGUAUAAGACUUCCACCUAAAGUUUCCCCUGCUCCACUACACGGAGUUGUGGUUUGGCUUUUCCCUUACCCUUCGUCCUGACCUCCGUCAUGCUCAGUACCUUUACUACUACUCCUACUGAUGAUACCGUUACCCCCUAUACUAUUGAUACCGCUCCCACUAGACAUACCACUACUCGUGAUACUAGUGAUACCGGUACCCCUUAUACUACUGAUACCUCUACUCCUACUGAUACCGAUACCGCCACCGCUACCGCUACUACUACUAACCGAUAUUUUCAGAUUACUAUAAGUUCAGUACGGUUUUACAUCAAUACAAUCUAUAAACUUUGUGAAAUAAUAGAAUACCUGUUUAAACAGAAUCAACUGUUAAAUAGAAUACGUGUUACACCGGUUAGAGUCAAUGAUAAAACAAGACGUAAGCUGUAAACUAUUAAUACCAAUUACGUUAAACCUACGUUGAGUUAUGGAACACGAACACAUACUCUACGUAAACAACCUUACGGUUAUAAGACUUAAUAACGAUACCUUACUUUGUGGG
rnacentral:rRNA from 1 species